ACAUUUAAAAUUACACGCACAACCACAGAAGAAUCCUACAGAUCAUCCCCUGAAAAAUGGAUCACUUAAGAAUGGGUUGGAGAAGGUUCCUCCUUCAUUGGGGAAGAGUGAGGAGACAGAUAAGGCCAAGAACAAACCCCCAAGCAUAUCUGUCAUUUACCAAANNNNNNNNNNNAUCUUUAGCAGGUAGUUCCUCCCCACCUCGAAAGAAGGUUGCAAAUAAUCCCCACGCCAGACACAGCACACUUCCACUCAGACCCCCAACGCCCAGCAAGAGGGAUGUUGCAAAAGAAAGCAAUGUGGCUGUGCUUCUUCCAAACAUAGCUUGUGCUAUGCGACCUCCUUCAAGUCUUCCACAGGGUAACAAAUUCAAUGAAGUCAC
rnacentral:misc_RNA from 1 species